rnacentral:rRNA from 1 species
AACUCCCCGUGAUAAGCGGGAGGAAGGUGUGGAUGACGUCAAGUCCUCAUGGCCCUUACGGGUUGGGCUACACACGUGCUACAAUGGCAGUGACAAUGGGUUAAUCCCAAAAAGCUGUCUCAGUUCGGAUUGGGGUCUGCAACUCGACCCCAUGAAGUCGGAAUCGCUAGUAAUCGCGUAACAGCAUGACGCGGCGAAUACGUUCCCGGGCCUUGUACACACCGCCCGUCACACCAUGGGAGUUGGGUCUACCCGACAGCCGUGCGCUAACUCUUCGGAGAGGCAGCGGACCACGGUAGGCUCAGCGACUGGGGUGAAGUCGUAACAAGGUAGCCGUAR